GCAAGACUAUGAACAAGAUACUGUUAGAGGCCAAUCCAAGGAUAAACACUCUUCACUGGUAGCUCUAGAGUAGCUGAAAAGCUGGCGCUUGAUCUCAAGGGUCGGAUUAGACUGGAAGAUGCUGGAUUUGAUUGGAAAGUCUUGGGACCAGAUGUUCAGGAGGUUGAUUACGUUGCGUGGGUUUGUGAUCAAGAUGCUUACGCGUGCAGUGGACAGAAGUGUUCUGCUCAGUCUAUGCUAUUCAUGCAUGAGAACUGGGCAAAAACCUCUCUUGUUUCUAAACUAAAAGAUCUUGCCGGAAGACGGAAACUAGAAGACUUGACCAUUGGUCCUGUCCUAAC